GGAGUAACGACGUAAACAUCUGCCUUAGAGGAGGGGAUAACAGAUAGAAAUAUUUGCUAAUACCGCAUAAGACCAAGCUUGGCAUCAAGCAAUAGGUAAAAGGAGAAAUCCGCUUUAAGAUGAGUUUGCGUACUAUUAGCUAGUUGGUGAGGUAACGGCCCACCAAGGCGACGAUGGUUAGCCGGCCUGAGGAGGGUGAACGGCCACAUUGGAACUGAGAUACGGUCCAGACUCCUACGGGAGGCAGCAGUGAGGAAUAUUGGGCAAUGGGCGAAAGCCUCGACCCAGCAACGCCGCGUGAAGGAAGAAGGUUUUCGGAUUGUAAACUUCUGUUAUAGGGGAAAAAGAAAGUGAUGGUACCCUAUGAGAAAGCUACGGCAAACCUAUGUGCCAGCCGCAGC
rnacentral:rRNA from 1 species